rnacentral:tRNA from 3 species
GGGAUAGCUCAGUCGGUAGAGCAGAGGACUCAAAAUCUUUGUGCACCAGUUCGAAUCUGGUUCCU